GGGGGGGGGGGGGGGGGGGGUUGGGGCGGGCGAGUCGGGCGGGGAGGCGCUGCGGUUGUGGGGUGCUCGCGUGGCGGACGGGUGAGUGACCGGUGGGUCGCCUGCCCUUGACGUUGGGAUACCUCACGGAACCGGGGGCUGAUACCGACUAGGAGCUCCUGCUGCCUGGUUGGGGUUGUGACGUUUCGGCUGUUGGUGAUGGACUCGCGGCUUAUCAGCUUGUUGGUGGGGUAGUGGCUUACCAAGGCUUUGACGGGUAGCCGGCCUGAGAGGGUGACCGGCCACAUUGGGACUGAGAUACGGCCCAGACUCCUACGGGAGGCAGCAGUGGGGAAUAUUGCACAAUGGGCGGAAGCCUGAUGCAGCAACGCCGCGUGCGGGAUGACGGCCUUCGGGUUGUAAACCGCGUUCGCCUGUGACGAAGCGUGAGUGACGGUAAUGGGUAAAGAAGCACCGGCUAACUACGUG
rnacentral:rRNA from 1 species